AUAUAAGAGACAGGACCGAUAGUGAACCAGUACCGUGAGGGAAAGGCGAAAAGAACCCCGGCGAGGGGAGUGAAAAAGAACCUGAAACCGUGUACGUACAAGCAGUGGGAGCCUCUUAAUGGGGUGACUGCGUACCUUUUGUAUAAUGGGUCAGCGACUUAUAUUCUGUAGCAAGGUUAACCGAAUAGGGGAGCCGAAGGGAAACCGAGUCUUAACUGGGCGUUAAGUUGCAGGGUAUAGACCCGAAACCCGGUGAUCUAGCCAUGGGCAGGUUGAAGGUUGGGUAACACUAACUGGAGGACCGAACCGACUAAUGUUGAAAAAUUAGCGGAUGACUUGUGGCUGGGGGUGAAAGGCCAAUCAAACCGGGAGAUAGCUGGUUCUCCCCGAAAGCUAUUUAGGUAGCGCCUC
rnacentral:rRNA from 1 species